rnacentral:rRNA from 1 species
UACGUAGGGGGCAAGCGUUGUCCGGAAUUAUUGGGCGUAAAGCGCGCGCAGGCGGUCAAUUAAGUCUGGUGUUUAACCUCGGGGCUCAACCCCGAGUCGCACUGGAAACUGGUUGACUUGAGUGCAGAAGAGGAAAGUGGAAUUCCACGUGUAGCGGUGAAAUGCGUAGAGAUGUGGAGGAACACCAGUGGCGAAGGCGACUUUCUGGGCUGUAACUGACGCUGAGGCGCGAAAGCGUGGGGAGCAAACAGGAUUAGAAACCCCCGUAGUCC